CCAACCACCGUAAAAAAACACCCAAAAAAAUUUUUUAAAAAAUUAUAUAUCAUUAAUGUGAUUUCACAUUUUUCACAUUUUAGUACUCUAUAAUUUUUAUUAAUUAUUUUUGUUAAAAUUUGAAAAGUAUUAAAAUAAAUAUUCAAUAAAUUAUAAAUAGGGUAUCUGAAUUUUUUUUGUAUAUGAUUUAACGAAAAAUCAACAGAAGGGCCGUCGAAAAAAUAAAAAUAAAAUCAUAGGGUAUUAAAUUGACAUAUUUUAAACCAUAAAAUAUUAAAAUAAAAAAGUGCUAAAC
rnacentral:lncRNA from 1 species